GCGGGCGUAGCUCAGUUGGUAGAGCGACAGCCUUCCAAGCUGUAGGUCGAGGGUUCGAAUCUCUUCGCCCGCUCUA
rnacentral:tRNA from 4 species